UACGUAGGGUGCGAGCGUUGUCCGGAAUUACUGGGCGUAAAGAGCUCGUAGGUGGUUUGUCGCGUUGUUCGUGAAAACCUGAGGCUUAACCUUGGGCGUGCGGGCGAUACGGGCAGACUGGAGUACUGCAGGGGAGACUGGAAUUCCUGGUGUAGCGGUGGAAUGCGCAGAUAUCGGGAGGAACACCGGUGGCGAAGGCGGUUCUCUGGGCCUUACCUGACGCUGAGGAGCGAAAGCGUGGGGAGCGAACAGG
rnacentral:rRNA from 1 species